rnacentral:tRNA from 1 species
GUCAGGUUGGUGGAGUGGUCUAACACGUACGACUCAAGAAAAUUUAAGUUCUUGAUCCCUCAAAAGGAUUUCGUAUCUCGCAAGAGGCGUGGGUUCGAAUCCCACAUCUGACA